GCAGAAUACCCUCCCAGCACUGUAUUUUCUUGCCGUGUCGGCCUGCUCUCCUCAGUCAUGGUGCCUUCUGUGUCCCUUUGAGGUACCAACUGGCCGACCGGUCACGUCUCACUGCCGCCCCAAGCCUCCGAGCCUCUGCGGAUACUCAGAUGCUGUGCCCCAGCUCACAAGGCUUCCAUGCCUUUCUCCCAUCCUUAACUCCCAGGCAAAGUUGCUUCCCCAUCCGGGCCCGCUCCCUGACGCAAAAAAUGUCCCCCACCCACCCUGACUCCAGCCAGCGUCCUCUCCAUCUCCUCAGGCCCGCCUCAGCCUGAGCCUGUAAAGCCUGUAACAAACACCAGCAUUUUCCAAGAGGUCGAGGCCUGAGCCAGGCCUCGCUGCCCCUGAGGAAGCUCAAGGCCCUCCGGGAGGAACAGUUUGUCCCUCUCUCUGUGGGAGGGCAGAAUCCGCAGCUGGGAAGGCCGAGAAGCCCGGUUCCCAGAGCUAAAACCCCUGCGUGCUUUUCGUAACUCUUCACUUCUGUGACCGGCUCUGAGCCUCACCGGACCUUUUGGCUCCCGCUUCUUUGAAAACACCCAGGCACCUCCCAGCAGAUGGAAGCCGGAGGUCGCUUUCUGCAGCAGUGCUUCUCACUGAUGCAACCCUUACUGCUGAUUAAAACCUGUCCCUGCCUCGUAAAAAAAUAUAAAUAAACAAAUAAAAGGCC